CUGCAGGGGUGGUGCCUGCUAGACAGGGCAGCGCACAGAGCCCCCUAGCUACACCUCCAGAUAGGAGCUGGAGAAAGGACAUGCCGCUGCUUCCAGGAGCUGCUUGAGCAUACCUGCUACUUAGCUUCAGGUGGAGCAAGAUCCUCGAAGAAGAUCGGUUGUCUUCCUGACUGUAGCCCCAUGAAGUGACCAUGUACACACCUAGAAUUGAUGUUUGGAGAUCUAUGGCCAAACUCUGAGCUGAGGGCCUCAACUCCCAUUGACUUCAGUGUGAGCAGAGGGGCGCUAAACACAUCUCAAGAGGCACUCAGCACCUUGCUUAAUUGGAUCCUUGUCGGUUACCAUACUUAACUUUUUUUCUUAAGAAGGAGAGCUACCUUAGUUAAGGCAAGAUCUGGGCACACAUGAUUUUCAUGGUGACCUCCACUUAUAUGCACUGUAUUACUGAGAUUGCACACUAAAUUUUUUUUGCACUUUUACAGUAUAAAAUGACUUUCUCCCCUUGGUUAUCUGUGUAGCGCCUUAUGUGUCUAUGAUGCUUUGCAAAAAUCCCUCCUGUAACAGUGUAAGGUUCUGAUCUUGUAAUGGAACCUAUGUGGGAAGAUUCUUAUGUCUGUAUGGAAUCUCACUGGCUUCAGUAGGA